ensembl:miRNA
ACUGUUUCUUGUAAUCAGUAACAAGGAUUCAUCCUUGUGUAUAGUAAAUAACAGGGAGAAUCUUUGUCACUAAGUACAAUUAACAGCUAU